CUUGUAGCCCAGGGGGCCGUGUAGUGUCCCUUUUGUAAUAUUCACCAUUAUCGAGGUGAAACAUAAAUAAAAAUGACUGUAUGUGACUCACAAUGAAUUGCAAACAUCGAUUUAUCUGCGAAAGCACAAGACUACAGGCCAGCUCUUUCAGGAAGAUACCUCUGUCGACAGGAGCUUCAUCUGAUCCACUCUUCUGAAGAACAUAUGCAUUUACUGUGCUGGUGUCCAAUAAACAGAAUAAACACAUC